UACGUAGGUGGCAAGCGUUGUCCGGAUUUAUUGGGUUUAAAGGGUGCGUAGGCGGUCUAUUAAGUCAGUGCUGAAAUAUCCCGGCUUAACCGGGAGGGUGGCAUUGAUACUGAUGGACUUGAGUUCAGUCGAGGUAGGCGGAAUUGACGGUGUAGCGGUGAAAUGCUUAGAUAUCGUCAAGAACACCGAUAGUGUAGACAGCUUACUAGGCUGAAACUGACGCUGAGGCACGAAAGUGUGGGGAUCAAAC
rnacentral:rRNA from 1 species